rnacentral:rRNA from 1 species
CCUACGGGAGGCAGCAGUGAGGAAUAUUGGUCAAUGGACGCGAGUCUGAACCAGCCAAGUAGCGUGAAGGAUGACUGCCCUAUGGGUUGUAAACUUCUUUUAUAUGGGAAUAAAGUGAGCCACGUGUGGCUUUUUGUAUGUACCUUAUGAAUAAGGAUCGGCUAACUCCGUGCCAGCAGCCGCGGUAAUACGGAGGAUCCGAGCGUUAUCCGGAUUUAUUGGGUUUAAAGGGUGCGUAGGCGGCCUGUUAAGUCAGUGGUGAAAGUCUGCGGCUCAACCGUAGAAUUGCCGUUGAAACUGGGAGGCUUGAGUACAGUAGAGGUAGGCGGAAUGCGUGGUGUAGCGGUGAAAUGCUUAGAUAUCACGCAGAACCCCGAUUGCGAAGGCAGCUCACUAAGCUACGACUGACGCUGAGGCACGAAAGCGUGGGGAUCAAACAGGAUUAGAUACCCCAGUAGUC